UAAAAAAACAUUUUUUUAAAA
rnacentral:piRNA from 1 species